GUCAAAACCCUAAAAAGCGAGACACUAGGAGGAGUCCAUGUCCCUUGGCAGAAUUGAGGUGUAUUCAAGACACCAAUUAUAUGCAUGGUGCUCCUGCUGUUGAUAGGGAAAGCAGAGAAAAUAAAAGACAAUGUGUAUAUGCAAAUGAUGCCAGAAGUGCUGUGGAUGGGAUUGGAGAAGCUUUUCACCACUUCAAGGACAUUCAGGUUAAUGAUACGGCAAAUAAACCAGUCAGAUGGUACAGUGAAAGUGACUUGAGCAGUGAUGUUUCGGAGAGGGAGA